rnacentral:rRNA from 1 species
AUGGCGACGGCGGCGCUCCAGCGCGUGGCGAGGAGGCUCGGCGGCCGCGCGCUGCAGGAGGAGGUGCAGCUCCCGAGGUUCCUCCACAGCGGCAAGCCUGCCUGUUCCGGCGCCUCCGUCGGAGGAAGCGGCAGCGCAAAGGGCCCUAGGGUUGAUGCGGCGAAAGAGGAUUUCACGCAGCAAAUCAAAAGCCUGAAAGAGGGCUUGUACACCACUUUUGCCAGAUGGGAACGGGACAAGCUGUUCGAUGGCACUCUGGCACGCCAAAACGGUCAGCUGCUGGAGCAACUUUCUGUGCAAGUCGAGCCUAGACCCAAUGACCCACUCUGGCGCAAACAUCGUCGCGGAAAACGGGUCCAUGAUUUCAUGUUCUAUGGAGGGUUGUUUUGUUCUAGCUAUCUGGCCUUGGGUGGGGUGCUUGACUUCUUCACAGGACCAGAUCAUUCCAAGGAAAGGAAAAGAUCAACUACUGCAUGUCUCAUAGUCGGUUGUAAAAUUCAUGUAACUCUCCCGAAUUCAAUAGAGGACGCAUAUGUCUGUCUGAUAACGGAGCUCCACGACACGGCAUGCCGCCUAAGAAAAGCUAGGGUUCGUGCCUCUCGCCGGCUCCGCCACAAGUCCGCCUCGUCUCUGAGUCUGGACAGAGCCGUUGCUAAUGCUCGAUGGUGUGAGGCAUUUCCAAAGUUUGGUGUGCUUAAUGGACGGCCAUGGCACUCGGAUCAUCGAGCAGUGGUGGUGACGACUAAGGACGAUAGCUGCGAGGGCCUAGGAGGGGGGGACAGUGGAUUCCGUUUUGAAGCUUGGUGGCUUAAAGAGGAUGGAUGCAAACCCAAAAUCAGGGAGGAGGCAAGGCUCCGUUGCUUAGUUGAGGAGUUGGAGGAGAAGAAAAACAUUAAGAUGAAGCAGCAAUCACAUAUGUCAUGGUUGAAAGAUGGAAACAGAAAAAUUAACACCCGCUACUAUACGGCUGUUGCAUCGGGGCGCAAGAAGGUGAACAGGGUGAAGUUUUUGAGAAAGGAGGAUGGAUCGGUGUGA